rnacentral:rRNA from 1 species
UAGGGAAUCUUCCGCAAUGGACGCAAGUCUGACGGAGCAACGCCGCGUGAGUGAAGAAGGAUUUCGGUUCGUAAAACUCUGUUGUUAGAGAAGAACAGCGCAUAGAGUAACUGUUAUGCGUGUGACGGUAUCUAACCAGAAAGCCACGGCUAACUACGUGCCAGCAGCCGCGGUAAUACGUAGGUGGCAAGCGUUGUCCGGAUUUAUUGGGCGUAAAGCGAGCGCAGGCGGUCAAUUAAGUCUGAUGUGAAAGCCCCCGGCUCAACCGGGGAGGGUCAUUGGAAACUGGUUGACUUGAGUGCAGAAGAGGAGAGUGGAAUUCCAUGUGUAGCGGUGAAAUGCGUAGAUAUAUGGAGGAACACCAGUGGCGAAGGCGACUCUCUGGCCAUAAUCUGACGCUGAGGUACGAAAGCGUGGGUAGCAAACAGG